rnacentral:rRNA from 1 species
GAUGAACGCUGGCGGCGUGCCUAAUACAUGCAAGUCGAGCGAACAGAUGAGGAGCUUGCUCCUCUGACGUUAGCGGCGGACGGGUGAGUAACACGUGGAUAACCUACCUAUCAGACUGGGAUAACUUCGGGAAACCGGAGCUAAUACCGGAUAAUAUAUUGAACCGCAUGGUUCAAUAGUGAAAGACGGUUUUGCUGUCACUUAUAGAUGGAUCCGCGCCGCAUUAGCUAGUUGGUAAGGUAACGGCUUACCAAGGCGACGAUGCGUAGCCGACCUGAGAGGGUGAUCGGCCACACUGGAACUGAGACACGGUCCAGACUCCUACGGGAGGAAGCAGUAGGGAAUCUUCCGCAAUGGGCGAAAGCCUGACGGAGCAACGCCGCGUGAGUGAUGAAGGUCUUCGGAUCGUAAAACUCUGUUAUUAGGGAAGAACAAAUGUGUAAGUAACUAUGCACGUCUUGACGGUACCUAAUCAGAAAGCCACGGCUAACUACGUG